rnacentral:rRNA from 1 species
GACGAACGCUGGCGGCGUGCUUAACACAUGCAAGUCGAACGGUGAAGCGCCUUCCUUUUUGGUGGGUGUGGAUGAGUGGCGAACGGGUGAGUAACACGUGAGUAACCUGCCCCCUUCUUCUGGAUAACCGCAUGAAAGUGUGGCUAAUACGGGAUAUUCUGAGUCUGUCGCAUGAUGGGUCUGGGAAAGAUAUUGUUUCGGUGGGGGAUGGGCUCGCGGCCUAUCAGCUUGUUGGUGGGGUGAUGGCCUACCAAGGCGGUGACGGGUAGCCGGCCUGAGAGGGUGGACGGUCACACUGGGACGGAGACACGGCCCAGACUCCUACGGGAGGCAGCAGUGGGGAAUAUUGCACAAUGGGCGUAAGCCUGAUGCAGCGACGCCGCGUGAGGGAUGGAGGCCUUCGGGUUGUGAACCUCUUUCGCCAGUGAAGCAGGCCUGCCUCGUUUGUGGGUGGGUUGACGGUAGCUGGAUAAGAAGCGCCGGCUAACUACGUG